CCCCAAUUCACUUCAAUUUACUUCAGAAGUUAACCCCAAUUCGCGCCUUUUCCAUUUCACCUCUACCAUCUCACCAACCCUCUCUCUCGAUAUCGUCGCGCCUCUUCGCUCUGCUGCCACCGUGUCGUUGCUCUGCUGCUCCAACACCCGUCGUCGCCUCGUCGCACUCGCGCCGCCGUCCCUCAGUCCCCUGUUUCAAAUCAAAACAUGUCGUAUCAAUAAGUUAAUAUCUUCAGCGUUUCAGAGAUGUCAAUUAUCGGAGAAGAUAUGCAGACUCUCGGUGAUUCUCGCUCGAUCUACGUCUUCCUCUCUUCGAGUCUCAAAUGGAAUUCUUUCUAUCAAAACCACGAGUAAGUUUUUGAUGUUCUUGUUAUGGUUAGUUUUGCUUUGAUUUCACUGAAUAUAUGCACACACGUCAAGCGAAAAUUGGGAAAGAGAUAGCUAUUUUCUUAUCUGCGUCAUUAUCAGAGGUAAUAUGCAAGCCUUCUGUAUAAGCCUCCGAGCAAAAUUGUUUUACUCUUAGGUACGUGUUGUUUGAACUCCUCAAUUUUCAUCAACCACGUGGAUAAGGUGCUAUUUUAAUUGUUCUACAUCGUGGCUUAACAUUGAAAUAGAUUCCAAUUAUUUAAUAGCGUCAUUGUGUUGAAUAUAUUUGUGCUAUUUUUAGUUUAUGCUGCUGUGUACCGGUGCUGCCAUCUUGGUUUAUGUAGUUUUUCUUAAAGAAAUUUGAUUUCUGUCAAAUGUUCUUAAAGAAAUUUGAGUCCUUGAAAAUCCAUUUUUGCUUGUCCUUGGGAACUUCAGGUCUAAUGUAUACAGCUUUGGAGUAAUAUUAUGGGAACCUGCAACCGAAAAGAUCCCUUGGGAUAAUCUCAACUCAAUGCAGGUGAUUGGAGUCGUGGGGUUCAUGGAUCAGCGACUUGAAAUUCCAAAAGAUGUUGAUCCACGAUGGGCUUUUAUAAUUUAGAGCUGCAGGCAUCGGUGUGCAUGCUCAAAGAUGAAACACCAAGUGACGAUGAAUGGACAGAGGAACUCAAACAUGGGAAGGGAACUGAAUCUCUAUAUAGUUACUGCUGCAGUUUAUGGUGGAAUGUGCAUGGGGUAUUAACUGUGCUUGGAGACUUGAUGAUGGGUCCAUUUGACACAGGAGCUGAGAUCAUGCUUGCUGCUACCAUCUUUUAUGAGUUGUCUGAGGCAUUAGAGAACGAACAUGACCUCUGAACUUGGCUUUUAGGAACUAGUUUCUUUCUUGAUUGGCCACUAGCUUACAGUUAGUUUAGUUAGUUGUCCUUCUUGUAAAAUAACAAUUGAUUUCACUAGUUUAUAUAUUUAGAUAUUUGGAUUUGGUUUGCAGGUUUUGAUGCCUAUACCGAAGCCAACAGGUUAUGCAGGAGACGAUCCUUAUAAAAUUUGGCAAUGGCUUCCGAGUUUGCAAGCAUGUUGUGUGGUGUUUCCUCCUCAGAAUGACGGUGGCAGAUGCUAUCACAAUACUCAAGUCCUUUGUUCCCAUGCCCAUGAGCUUCAAUGACCUUUCUUCUCUCUCUCUUCUUCUACGAGAAAGAAGAGCCUUCAAUUCAUAUUCCCAGGUCAAAUAUACCAGCAUUCACAAUUUCUUCUUCUUGUUUUUCCAAUUGUUUUGAAUAUGGUAGAAAUAUUUUUGAAUAUAAUGAAUGGGUUGUUAGAUAGGAGACCGUGUUUGAAUUUGUAGCUACACUGUUACUGAUGCGUGCGCAUGUUUGAUCAAAGUUCUUAGUGAGUACUAGAAAAUAUGCUGCUUUUCUAUUUUA